rnacentral:rRNA from 1 species
GACGAACGCUGGCGGCGUGCCUAAUACAUGCAAGUCGAGCGGACCAAAGGGAGCUUGCUCCUGGAGGUUAGCGGCGAACGGGUGAGUAACACGUGGGCAACCUGCCUGUAAGACUGGGAUAACAUCGAGAAAUCGGUGCUAAUACCGGAUAAUAAAAGAACUGCAUGGUUCUUUUUGAAAGAUGGUUUCGGCUAUCACUUACAGAUGGGCCGCGGCGCAUUAGCUAGUUGGUGAGGUAACGGCUCACCAAGGCGACGAUGCGUAGCCGACCUGAGAGGGUGAUCGGCCACACUGGGACUGAGGCACGGCCCAGACUCCUACGGGAGGCAGCAGUAGGGAAUCUUCCGCAAUGGACGAAAGUCUGACGGAGCAACGCCGCGUGAGUGAUGAAGGUUUUCGGAUCGUAAAACUCUGUUGUUAGGGAAGAACAAGUGCCGUUCGAAAGGGCGGCACCUUGACGGUACCUAACGAGAAAGCCACGGCUAACUACGUGCCAGCAGCCGCGGUAAAGUA